GUGUUUUGUCAGGGCAAGACGCUGGACUGUGUGGAGAUCUCCCUGGCGAGGGUCUUCGAGAGAGGCCAGGCCUACCUGGUUCUGUCUCAAGCCAGGAGUCUGGAGGACCUAAGGGUCAUGGACUUUAAUCCCUGUGUGGUCCGAGCCGACCCCGACGUGCUGUUCUUCUACAGGAAGCGGAGGAAAGAGUGAUUACUGCUACAGAAGCCGCCUCCAAUGUAAUUUUAGAGAAUUUGGCAGUACAUCCAACCGGCUUCACAACCGCAGACCACGUGUAACCAUGCUAGCCCAGGACCUCCACAUCUGGCUUCUUCACCUGCGGGAUCGUCUGAGACCAGACAGCUGAUGAAACUGAGGAGUCUUUUUGUCUGUAAUAAAGCCCUUUUGUGGAGGAAAACUAAUUCUGAUUGACUGGGCCUGGCUCCCCAGUGGAUGGGCCUAUGCCCACCCAUGGCUGCGCCCCUGCCCAGUCAUGUGAAAUCCAUAAAUUAGGGCCUAAUGAAUUUAUUUCAAUUGACUGAUUUCCAUAUAUGAACUGUAACUCAGUAAAAUAGUUGAAAUUGUUGCAUGUUGCAUUUAUAUAUUUGUUCAAUAUACAAACAUUUGAAGCAAUGGGAAGUGUCCAAGUAGUUUCUCACAUCUUCCUUUGUGUAUUUUUUGGCUUUGCACCUCAGACAAAGUCUGAGGUGACCUUUACUGUUAUCCUACUGUGUACUGCCACCCUGUGUUAGAAAAGGUUCAUUGAUGUCCAUAAAUCCAGCCGAGUUUAAUCACCCCGUUGAGGGUUGGUCAGGUCCGGAAUUAAUGAUGUGUGUCAUGUCCAAGCUUCCACUACUCUGUGUCCAAAGCAAAAGGCUCAGAUAUCUUUCUCUCUGCAGGCCUCGGUGGAUAAGUUUGUGGGCAGAAAUAACAAUGAGAACUAUUGGACAAUGACCCAUAACACACUUCCAGUGUGUGUAAGUGCCAUUUGACAUGGUUUGGAAUGAGUUGGACAGCAGAGUGAAGGAAA
ensembl:lncRNA